UGGGGAAGUAUUGCGCAAUGGGCGAAAGCCUGACGCAGCGACGCCGCGUGAGGGAAGAAGGCCUUCGGGUCGUAAACCUCUGUCAGGAGGGAAGAAACCAUAGGGGUCGAAUAGGCCUCUGUGCUGACGGUACCUCCGGAGGAAGCACCGGCUAACUCCGUGCCAGCAGCCGCGGUAAUACGGAGGGUGCAAGCGUUAAUCGGAAUCGACUGGGCGUAAAGCGCACGUAGGCGGUGCCGUAAGUCGGAUGUGAAAGCCCUCGGCUCAACCGGGGAACUGCAUUCGAUACUGCGGU
rnacentral:rRNA from 1 species